GCCUAAGGACCCCUUUCCCUUUACCAAAACAAGGAAAAAACCUGAGUUAUCAUAGCAUCUGCCUACUGAUUAAAUCUCCCUAUGUCACGUUCCAGUCUAGGGUAUGGAAUUGUGAACCAGGGAAAAGUGAAGGUGGCACGAGGAAUAACGCAAGAUCAAUAAGUGAAUUAUAGAUUUAAUGGCAAAAGUGGGGUUGGUACAAAAAUAAAUGAGCACUUAAAUUAUAGAGGUCUAAUCAAUAGUUACAGGCACGUUGCAUGGCAAACAUUACAAAAGUAGACAAAAGUGGCUUCUCCACAGAAGCAGGCGAACUGCAACCGACGGGCUGCGUAUCACAAAACGAAGUGGAAACUGGUAGCGCUGACGUGGCGAGUCACGGAACAGAACGAAAACGGAGCCAGAAGGAAUCGUUGGGUGGCACCCCAGGGUUUUUAAAAGGACGCCAAUCUCGAACCAGCCAAUCACAGACCAUGGCGCAGCACCUAUUGAAACAGAAACACAAAACACGGGGGCGGGACAAAACGGAACCAAACGCGCAAAGCGCACAGUAAAAGCAAACUAAACCACAUAACUGGGAUCGUAACACCCUAGUAAAUUCAUUAACACAAAACUUCAAAUAUAUGCAUUAAACACAUCAAACAUUAAUUUUCAAAUCUGUAGUUCACAGUCCCCUGAUGAAGGAUCUUCAGUUUUUUUGCAUCUUCAUUCAGGGUCUUCCAGCAUCUUUCACAGUUCAUUUUGAAUUUCUGAGUCCAUUCCAACAUAGUUGUCACCCCAACGUAGCUCCCCAACUACUGUCCUGGAAACAGAAAAGAGAGGGGCCAGUAUCUUUGCAAACAAAACAUUGGUUUCAUUAGAGGGAAUACAAUGCAAACAUAUCAAAACAUGAUUGUCACGAUUAAGUAAAUUAUCUAACCAUUUCCCCCUUUGUCACCGGAACUACAACGGAGGAAAGGAAAACAUAAACACCAUUAAAUGCAAAGAGUAACAUAAGGAUGUAACUCGAAGGUCACACUAGAUACUGAAUUAUUGAUUAUACUGGAUAUUUAUCAACCAUCUCGUCAGAAAUAUCCUCCUCAUCUGAAUCAAUCAAAGCUUUGUCACUUAAGAGUGGCAUCUGGACCUGGUUGCUAGGCAUCACUACACCAAUCCAAUGCAAUAUCAUCGCCUUGGCACAAGUUAAUGACAAAGUACAAAAACAAAACAUCACACCUAGUGACACUACGACGGCACUGAGAACCUGUACCAAUAUAGCUCCCAUCGGACCAAAUUUGUCCUGAAGCCAGGCCGUCGCCGAUGUUCCUGCGCUUUCAGAAGGACCAAACGCAUCUCUUAUCUUCUUCAAAGCAUCAAUCACACUUGUUAUAUUAUCACCAUUGUCUGGAAUCAAAGUGUAACAAGCAUCUCCUGUCAAGUUCAAAGACACACACAAACCUCCUUCUUUGGCCAAGAUGUAAUCUAGAGCCAUGAGCAUGUUUCAACAACGUAAGUCUGUGGCUCCUCUGAGUGUUGGAAAGGUGUUCAAAGCCUUUUAUGGUUUCAUUAGCAAAACCCUGCAGAGUGUAAAUAAUAUUGCUGAGGUACUGGUGGAACAGAUGUCACAGAUGGAAAUUGAUAUGAUUGGCAUGGUGUUUGGUUUGAUUGCAUUUGUGAUGUCUGAUCAGGUUGGCUUUCCAUCACUACUAAGUCUUUCAGCGCCCCCCCAAAACUGACCUUUGUGAGCAGAAAACAGUUCAGCAUCAUUUACUGCAGUUGCCAUGAACCGAGGCAUGCCAGCCUUCUCCAAAAGGUCUUCCAUGGCAGACACACCAAUGAGAUUAGCUAGGAGCCUUUUAAUGUCUCCAACAGCAGGUUGUGUUCCAAUCAAAAGUUCCUCCAGUUUCGAAAUCCAGGGGUGUGCCCCUUCCUGAAGGAUAGGUAGCUUCUCUAAUAUAUUCUGCCA
ensembl:lncRNA